GAUGAACGCUGGCGGCGUGCCUAAUACAUGCAAGUCGAACGCUGAGGAGAGGAGCUUGCUCUUCUUGGAUUAGUUGCGAACGGGUGAGUAACGCGUAGAUAACCUGCCUUUUAGCCUGGGAUAACUACUGGAAACGAUAGCUAAUACCGCAUAAUAUUUUAUAACCCAUGGCACUUAUUUGAAAGGGGCAUUUGCUGCACUACAAGAUUGACCUGCGCUGUAUUAGGUAGUAGGUAAGGUAACGGCUUACCAAGGCAACGAUACGUAGCCGACCUGAGAGGUUGAUCGGCCACCCUGGAACUGAGACACGGUCCAGACUCCUACGGGAGGCAGCAGUGGGGAAUCUCCGGAAAGGGGCGAAAGCCUGACGAACAAACGCGGCUGGGUGGAUGAGGUUUUUCGGAUCGUAAAACCCGUUGUUUGGGAAAGAACAGUGGGAGAGUGAACUAUGCACGUCGUGACGGUACCUAACCAGAAAGACACGGCUAACUACGUG
rnacentral:rRNA from 1 species